rnacentral:rRNA from 1 species
GAUCCUGGCUCAGGAUGAACGCUAGCUACAGGCUUAACACAUGCAAGUCGAGGGGCAUCAGGAAGAAAGCUUGCUUUCUUUGCUGGCGACCGGCGCACGGGUGAGUAACACGUAUCCAACCUGCCCUUUACUCGGGGAUAGCCUUUCGAAAGAAAGAUUAAUACCCGAUAGCAUAAUGAUUCCGCAUGGUUUCAUUAUUAAAGGAUUCCGGUAAAGGAUGGGGAUGCGUUCCAUUAGGUUGUUGGUGAGGUAACCGG